AUACGACCACAUCACGUUAAGACUCCGGUUCCCGUAUGAUCACUGGAGCUAAGCAACGUGAAGCCUGGUCAUUACCUAGAUGGGUGACCGCUUGGAAAUAUAAGGUGC